CCUACGGGGGGCUGCAGUGGGGAAUAUUGGACAAUGGGGGCAACCCUGAUCCAGCCAUGCCGCGUGUGUGAAGAAGGCCCUCGGGUUGUAAAGAACUUUCAGUGAGGAAGAACGCCUGGUGGUUAAUACCCAUCAGGAAAGACAUCACUCACAGAAGAAGCACCGGCUAACUCCGUGCCAGCAGCCGCGGUAAUACGGAGGGUGCGAGCGUUAAUCGGAAUUACUGGGCGUAAAGCGCGCGUAGGUGGCUUGAUAAGCCGGUUGUGAAAGCCCCGGGCUCAACCUGGGAACGGCAUCCGGAACUGUCAAGCUAGAGUGCAGGAGAGGAAGGUAGAAUUCCCGGUGUAGCGGUGAAAUGCGUAGAGAUCGGGAGGAAUACCAGUGGCGAAGGUGGCCUUCUGGACUGACACUGACACUGAGGUGCGAAAGCGUGGGUAGCAAACAGGAUUAGAUACCCCUGUAGUC
rnacentral:rRNA from 1 species